rnacentral:tRNA from 1 species
GGUGGCUCAGUGGUAAAGUGCUUGCCUGGCAUGCAUGAGGCCCUGGGUUCAAUUCCUCAGCACCG